UCUUGGCCAUAAUCAGCUGUGUGACCUGCAGCAAGUCACAAUGCCUCUGGCCCAAGUCUGUCCCUGGCCCCACAUCAUAAGAUGUGAAGGGGAUCAAUUGAGAGCUGUCAAGAGGGGCUAUGAGGAAGCAUCGGGACAGAGGAGGCCAAUGCAACUUGGUCGUCAAGAACAGGGUAAUUCACAAGUGUCUUCUGCUGAGCUAGACUGAGGCACCUGGGAACAUCACAGGGAGUCAUGAAAAUAGUUCAAAAAGAAGAAACAUAGUCACAGAUCGCUAAGCAGAGACAGCAGCUGAAAUUUCCUAUAGGAUUUCCAGAGAAAGCUUCAGGCAAUGUGAGAUACAGAGUCUGAUCCACGAAGCAGAGCCACAGAGAGAGAACAUCUCUGCGAGCAGAAGCCACGGCUGAUAUUCAGAAGCACAGUCCAGA
rnacentral:lncRNA from 1 species